UGGGGAAUUUUACGCAAUGGGGGAAACCCUGACGUAGCGACACCGCGUGAGCGAAGAAGCCCUUUGGGGUGUAAAGCUCUGUCAGCUGGAACGAAAAAAAUGACGGUACCAGCAGAGGAAGCAUCGGCUAACUACGUGCCAGCAGCCGCGGUAAGACGUAGGAUGCGAGCGUUGUCCGGAUUUAUUGGGCGUAAAGAGUUCGUAGGCGGUUUGUUAAGUCCGGUGUUAAAUUACGAGGCUCAACCUCGGAAGUGCAUUGGAUACUGGCAGACUCGAGUACAGUAGAGGCAAGCGGAAUUCCCAGUGUAGCGGUGAAAUGCGUAGAUAUUGGGAAGAACACCAGUGGCGUAAGCGGCUUGCUGGGCUGUAACUGACGCUGAGGAACGAAAGCCAGGGUAGCGAAUGGGAUUAGAUACCCCUGUAGUCC
rnacentral:rRNA from 1 species